ensembl:lncRNA
CUCAGCUUUAGUUAUGACAACAUUCAUAAUAACCUGAACGUUACAUCUAAGAGCAUCUGUAAGACAAUUAGUGCAAUUUACCGUUUAAACUAAAAAAAAAAAAAUACAGCUUCUGUCUGCAAAAAUAUACAGAUAUCAUCUAUGGAGCCGAAGAGCAACAGAAGGUCUGGAGGACGUCCAGAGGCACGAGCGUUUGAGGUGAACACACACCACUGCACCAGCACACACACACACAGUAACACACACCAGAGGGGGUUGCAGCGAUGCCCACCGUGGCCUCUGAUUGGCUGCAGGCCGACAGGUGACGCCGCCGCCACGGAGGCACGACGGACGCAGAGAAGCAGAAAAAGUUCACGUCUAAGUAGCGACAUCCAACGAAAACACAACAGAGUGAAGCAGCAACACGUUCUUCACUGCAGGGAUGGACCAUCAACCAGAAGGUCCUGAGAAGAUCCAGACCAUCAACCAGAAGGUCUUUAAAAGAACCAGACCAUCAACCAGAAGAACCUUAGAAGAACCAGACCAUCAACCAGAACAACUUUAGAAGAACCAGCUCAUCAACCAGAAGGUCUUUAGAAGAACCAGACCAUCAACCAGAAGGUCCUUAGAAGAACCAGAUCAUCAACCAGAAGGUCCUGGACGCUUAGAAGAACCAGAAACCGUUCAUGUCUGUUUGUUGUUAAUCUGAGAGAAUUUCUGACCAUUUUAAACAUUUCUGUCAAUGUUUUGUGUGUCUCUGUGUGGUUGUUUUGUGUCUUUUAGUGGUUGCUUUGUGUCUCUUUGUGGUUGGUUUGUGUCUUUUUGUGGUCGUUUUAUGUCUCUUUGUGGUUGUUUUGUGUGUUUUUGUUGUUGCUUUGUGUCUCUGUGGUUUUUUGUGCUAGUUUUGUCUCUAAUUUUAAGUCUCUCAGUGGUUGUUUGUCUUUGUGGUUGUUUUAUGUCUCUUUGUGGUUGUUUUGUAUCUCUUUGUGGUUGUUUUGUCUCACUUUUGUGGUUGUUUUGUGUGUCUUUGUGGCUGUUUUGUGUCUUUUUGCUGUCGUUUUGUUUCUCUUUGUAGUUGUUUUGUGCCUGUGGUCAUUCUACAUUUCUUUGUGGUUGUUUUGUGUCUUUGCGGUUGCUUUGCUGCUUAUUGUGAUCAUUUUAUGUUUAGUUCUUGUCACUUUUCAUCUAUGUGUUGCAGGUUUUUCUCUCUUUGUCGUCACUUUGUGGCUUUUUCACGUACAGCUGAUUCUCUGUGCGUCUGGACCUGUGCCGGUUCAUGAAUCCAUCCAUGCUCAGCUGACAGUUCGCUCAAAUGUGCACAAAAACAGGAAAAUUAAAAAUAUUUAGAUAUGAAAAUCUGCCUGAAUCGGAGGUUUUUG